CGAGAGGAAGAAACAUUGUGUAG
rnacentral:piRNA from 1 species